UCGUCUCCCUUCUGCCCCUUCCCCCGCGCGGGAGAGUGGCGCAUGCGCACCUCGUUUAGAAUGCCGUGGGGAUCCCUCCGCUCGCGCGCGGAGAUUGAACCGCCUCAACGAGAGUGUCGAAGGCGCUCGAGGCGCAGAAAUGUCGAGCCCCGCCCCGCCCCCUGAGUGCGUCCGGGCCAAACCCCUCAGGCUGCUCUUUAAACGUCGCUCAUGAGGGGAGGCGAGAUCAGGGGGCGCCCCGGAGCAGCCUGAGGCCUUAUUGAAUUUGUGGAGUUGCGCGCGACCCAAGCCCGACGCGGUCUCCAGGUGCGGCGGCGCUUGGCUCGGACUCUCCGCAGGAGCUGCGGCCGUGGGGGGCUGCCCAUAAAUUAGGCACCAUUGUGGGACCAUUUUCCAGAUACCUCUUCCCCCAUUCUGACACUGUGUGCCGCACAAACAGCAAAACCAACUCUGGGAGCCCGCGAUGUAUUUGAUGGGCAGCGCCUCAGUCGGGGUGGAUCUGGGGGGGUGUUAUCUGCCGUAGCCCCCCGCCCAAGCUGAAACACCUGGUGAUGUGUAUCACGACGGCUGACGGGAGGGUGUGCUUGUGCUGGUACCCUGGAGCAGGCUGAGACGGGAACUGGGGGCUGCAGUGCUGGGCUAGUGACUAAUGUGCCCUCUGCCUUGCACCUGAGCGUGUGAGGGUGUAAAACAACAGUAGUGCGAUUUAUCAUCGUUUCUCAUGGCCAUGCUGAGCUGGUGCGUUGGAAGGGCCCGUCUCCAAGGUGGUCCUUGCCAUCAGCGAAGGAUGGGACUUAGAGCACAGCACUACCUAUGCUCAGAGCAAUAAUGGAGAUGCUACCGCUUCUGGCCAUCUUCUGCUAUUGGGCUCCCUGGAGAGAAACUUGGCAGCAAGCCUUGUGGGGAUUGAAGAGCAGGGGAUGAAUGGAUUUCUCAAGUUUUUGGAGCUGAUGAAUCUUGGGGGGGAUUAUGAAACAUUCCAUAACCUGUCCAGACUUCCACUAAACAUAAGCAGGCACAGCCGAGCUGGACUGUUGGGAUUGGCUAGACCGCACCAGAGUCAAAAAAGAGGUCGUCGCUCACCGUGCCACUGGACGAACCACUGGAGUCCCACAUCCUCCUCCAAAUCGUCCAUCAUUUUGUCCUCAGAGUUGAUGCUGCUGGCUGCUGCCCCCAGUCCUCUGAAGUAUCAAUGGGGCUCUUGGCAGUGGAGGCAGGGUCGCCACCGAGGAUGAUGUGCAGCUCCUUGUAGAAGCAGCAUGUUUUUGGCGCUGCACCAGAGCGACAGUUGGCUAAUUAAAGAUUGGCUACAUGCCAAAUGUGAAGUUGG